CGGACGGGUGAGUAACGCGUGAGUAAUCUGCCGAGAAGUGGGGGAUAGCUCGCCGAAAGGCGAAUUAAUACCGCAUGUGAUAGCAAUAUUAAAGUCGGGGUAACCUGACGCUUCUUGAUGAGCUCGCGGCCUAUCAGCUUGUUGGCGGGGUAACGGCCCACCAAGGCUAUGACGGGUAGCUGGUCUGAGAGGACGACCAGUCACACUGGAACUGAGACACGGUCCAGACACCUACGGGUGGCAGCAGUCGAGAAUUUUUCUCAAUAGGGGAAACCCUGAAGGAGCGACGCCGCGUGGAGGAUGAAGGCUUUCGGGUCGUAAACUCCUGUCAUUAGGGAACAAUUGUCAGCGAUUAACUGUCGCGGACUUGAUAGUACCUGAAGAGGAAGGGACGGCUAACUCUGUGCCAGCAGCCGCGGUAAUACAGAGGUCCCAAGCGUUGUUCGGAUUCAUUGGGCGUAAAGGGUGCGUAGGUGGUAGACUAAGUCGGAUGUGAAAUCCCAGGGCUCAACCCUGGAACUGCAUUCGAUACUGGUCUGCUCGAGGACUGGAGAGGAGAUUGGAAUUCAUGGUGUAGCAGUGAAAUGCGUAGAUAUCAUGAGGAAGACCAGUGGCGAAGGCGGAUCUCUGGACAGUUCCUGACACUGAGGCACGAAGGCUAGGGGAGCAAAUGGGAUUAGAUACCCCAGUAGUC
rnacentral:rRNA from 1 species